AAGCGAAACGCCUCGGCUCGAUCCGAGGCGUCUGCCGGGCGUGGUGGCCCAGCACUGAUGAGCAGCCGCAG
rnacentral:hammerhead_ribozyme from 1 species